rnacentral:tRNA from 1 species
GGGGAUAUAGCUCAGUUGGUAGAGUGCUUGCCUCACAUGGACAAGGCCCUGGGUUCAAUUCCCAGCACCCCCC